rnacentral:rRNA from 1 species
UACGUAGGCAGCGAGCGUUGUUCGGAGUUACUGGGCGUAAAGAGUGCGUAGGCGGUUUUGCAAGUUUGUUGUGAAAUCUCCCGGCUUAACUGGGAGGGUGCGGCGAAAACUGCAAGGCUGGAGUAUGGGAGAGGUAGGCGGAAUUCCUGGUGUAGCGGUGAAAUGCGUAGAUAUCAGGAGGAACACCGGUGGUGUAGACGGCUUACUGGACCAUGACUGACGCUGAGGCACGAUAGCGUGGGGAG